rnacentral:rRNA from 1 species
AUUGAACGCUAGCGGGAUGCCUUACACAUGCAAGUCGAACGGAGUGGCGAACGGGUGAGUAAUGUAUCGGAACGUGCCCCGUAGCGGGGGAUAACUACGCGAAAGCGUAGCUAAUACCGCAUACUAUUGGAGCGGCAGAUAUCGGAUUAGCUAGUUGGUGGGGUAACGGCCCACAAAGGGGAAGAUCCGGAGCUGGUUUUAGAGGACGACCAGCCACACUGGGACGGAGACAAGGCCCAGACUCCUACGGGAGUCAGCAGUGGGGAAUUUUGGACAAUGGGGGAAAGCCUGAUCCAGCCAUCCCGCGUGUGCGAUGAAGGCCUGCGGGUUGUAAAGCACUUUUGGCAGGAAAGCGGUACCUGCAGAAUAAGCACCGGCUAACUACGUGCCAGCAGCCGCGGUAAUAC